UACGUAGGGUGCGAGCGUUAAUCGGAAUUACUGGGCGUAAAGCGUGCGUAGGCGGUUCGUUAAGUUCGUUGUGAAAGCCCCGGGCUUAACCUGGGAAUGGCAUUUGGGACUGCAAGGCUGGAGUGUGGCAGAGGAGACUGGAAUUCCUGGUGUAGCAGUGAAAUGCGUAGAUAUCAGGAGGAAUACCGAUGGCGAAGGCAGGUCUCUGGGCUGACACUGACGCUCAUGCAUCGAAAGCGUGGGGAGCAAACAGG
rnacentral:rRNA from 1 species